rnacentral:rRNA from 1 species
UACGUAGGGUCCGAGCGUUGUCCGGAAUUAUUGGGCGUAAAGAGCUCGUAGGCGGUCUGUCGCGUCGGACGUGAAAAUCCAGGGCUCAACCCUGGACCUGCGUUCGAUACGGGCAGACUAGAGUUCGGUAGGGGAGACUGGAAUUCCUGGUGUAGCGGUGAAAUGCGCAGAUAUCAGGAGGAACACCGGUGGCGAAGGCGGGUCUCUGGGCCGAAACUGACGCUGAGGAGCGAAAGCGUGGGGAGCGAACAGG